AUGUCAUGGUGUGGACAUUUCCUAAACAAAUCAUUUAAUCGUUCCCAUACCUCAUGAAACAUUUCCCCAUCCCUUAGUGAGAAUUCAUGAAUUUCAGUUCUCAUUGC